GACGAACGCUGGCGGCGUGCUUAACACAUGCAAGUCGAGCGGUAAGGCCCUUUCGGGGGUACACGAGCGGCGAACGGGUGAGUAACACGUGGGUGACCUGCCUUUAGCUCUGGGAUAAGCCUGGGAAACUGGGUCUAAUACCGGAUAUGACUCCAUGAUGCAUGUUGUGGGGUGGAAAGCCUUGUGCGGCUGGAGAUGGGCCCGCGGCCUAUCAGCUUGUUGGUGGGGUGAUGGCCUACCAAGGCGACGACGGGUAGCCGGCCUGAGAGGGCGACCGGCCACACUGGGACUGAGACACGGCCCAGACUCCUACGGGAGGCAGCAGUGGGGAAUAUUGGACAAUGGGCGCAAGCCUGAUCCAGCAAUGCCGCGUGUGUGAAGAAGGCCUGCGGGUUGUAAAGCACUUUCGG
rnacentral:rRNA from 1 species